rnacentral:rRNA from 1 species
AGCAGCCGCGGUAAUUCCAGCUCCAAUAGCGUAUAUUAAAGUUGUUGCAGUUAAAAAGCUCGUAGUUGAAUUUCGGGGUUCCACCGUUGGUCGGGCUAUUGUCUGUACUGGCGUGUGGAAUUUCUACCUUCUGGGGAACUAUCAUGUUAUUAAUUUAGCGUGGUAGGAAACCAGGACCUUUACCUUGAAAAAAUUAGAGUGUUCAAAGCAGGCUUAUGUCUGAAUACAUUAGCAUGGAAUAAUAAAAUAGGACGGUGGUCCUGUUUUGUUGGUUUCUGAAUCACCGUAAUGAUUAAUAGGGAUAGUUGGGGGCAUUAGUAUUCAAUUGUCAGAGGUGAAAUUCUUGGAUUUAUUGAAGACUAACUACUGCGAAAGCAUUUGCCAAGGAUGUUUUCAUUAAUCAAGAACGAAAGUUAGGGGAUCGAAGACGAUCAGAUACCGUCGUAGUCU